rnacentral:lncRNA from 1 species
CGAACAGUUACAACAAACCCAUACUUGGUCACAUGGGGUCACCAAAAAACUCUAGCUAAAUAAUAGAACUGAUAAAAAACACUACCCAUCCUUCAUCGUUACAAUCAGAUCAAAAAAUUCGCUUGGUUAAUCCUUAAAAGUUCAAAUCAAUCUUUCCAUCACCCUUCAGCAUAACAAAAAUGCCUAGAUACACAACAAUCUUUUUAACCCACAAUUCAUUGAUGCAGCCAGUGCACUCGACCUAAAAUCUGACACCUUUAGAAUUUCAUUCUCAUCAGUAGUAGAUUUUUUUUGUUUCAAUCACAGCGGUAAACACAAAUUUGAGGUAACAAUGAUCAAGAAAUCCAAGAUGCCAUCGUCAAAAUUCUACAAUGUUCAAGUGUGCCUCACCCUGUCCUGAGCUUUCAGCAUCUCCAACUCCACAUUCUACUUCGUCGAAAAAGCACACUCUGAAGUCAGGGCUCUUUUGACCCCGCCCACCACUCUAUGUCAACACAAAUCAUUGGCUCCUAGUCUCGCACUACUAAGUUGUUGGAUUCAUUGUCAGCGGUCUCACAACGCCGUUAAGGUGGGUAGUUGCCGGAGUUAGAGGAUGACUGUUGAGGUAGGGAGAGAGAGAGAGAGAAAAUGAGUAGUGAUAGAAAUUUUUUUAGGGAUUUUGAAAGGGAUGAUGCAUGGUUAGGUGUGUCGGGUAGGAUUUGGGUAAAGUGGAUAUGC